UGUAUCGGAUUGUAUUAAAGUAUUAGCUGCAAAAGGUUAAUUGUCCCUAGGAUUAUAGGUUGUACUAUUUGUAGAAGUACUAGGAUAGUUGGUUUCACUAUUUGAACUAGAAAUAGGCAAUAGAGUAGGGGGAUUUGAAGUAAUUGAAGCCUUCUCUAAGGUACUGUUAGUAUUAAAAUCUUUUAUUAAAGGAUUGAUGGAUUGAGUGGUUGGUGUAGGUUGUGGAGACGAGCACAUGGUAAAAUGGGUAUUUUGUUUUACUUUUAACGUGGAAGCAUUGAACUUCACAUCCUGGAAAUUUCUUUUGGUCGACGUGGCCAUUGUGAUAACCGUAUCCCUUUGUUGGGGUGUGUUAGUACACGUAGGAGGUGUGGGAUUCUUACUUUUUUUCUCUCUGAUUUUUAGAGAUAGAAAGAUUAUGAAAUCUAUUACAAUAACAAUAUAUUCAGUAUAUUCUCACAUAAUGAGGUUUGGAAAGGAUAAAACGUAUGCAGUUCAUACCACUACCGCGAUGGAGUAUUAGGCGGAGAAGUACUAGGUGCAUCAAGAUGAAAGCAUGAAUAAUCUAAAUGAGCAGUUCCCCCGAGGAAGACACCUCCUCCUGAGUUAUAGCAUAUUUCUUAACAGCUGGAGUGGUGUCCUUGUGUUCUUCUUUAUCUUUAGAAACAUGGGUCAGUUUAAACCUACAAUUGCCCUCAUCUAUGCAGCUUUCCCUGUCCUCAUGAUUCGCUUCAUCAAAUAUGACAUAAAUAAAUUUCUUCUACCAACUAGUUCUCUUAUUGUAGAUUUUAUGAGCCUUACACUGUGAAGAAUAUCUCAGAAGAUACCUUUAUCAAUUUUUGCAUCAAAUUUUCCUAAUAUGUCCUUUCCAUUAUUGUAAAUAAAAUAUUUACACCCAAAAGGUCUUAGAUAGGUUAGAUUUGGCUUUCUACCCUUGAGUAGUUCAUAAGGGGUUUUGUCUAGCAGUGAUCUAAUCAUACACCUGUUAAGAAGAUAAUAUGCAAUGUUUACUGCUUCAGCUUAAACAUUUUAAGGAAGACCACUUGUUAUGAGCAUUGUUCUAGCCAUAUCCUCUAGAGAAUUAUUCUUUCUUUCAACCAUACCAUUUUCACGAGGAGUUCUAAGUGCAGAGAAGUUGUCAUCAAUACUAUUUUCAACACAAAAGGUCAAGAAGUUUGAAUUUUUAAAUUCAAUACCAUGAUCAGACCUUAUUCCUAUAACUUUAGCAUUCAACUUCUUUUGAACAAUUUUAACUAAUAUUUGGAAUACCUCAAGUGUCUUAUCCUUAAAACUCAAGAAGAGUGUCCAUGUGAAUCUUGAAUAAUCACCUACAAUCACAAAUACAUGCCUCUUCGCUCCUCUACUGAGAAUUCUCAUUGGACCACACAAGUCCAUAUACAAUAAUUGAAGAGGUUUAGUGGUGCUUACCAUUCUUUUAGGCUUGAACGAGGAUCUAACAUAUUUUAUCUUUGCACAAACAUCACACACAAGAGAUUUAUUCAGUUUGUUUUAUGAUAAUCCUAACACCAAAUCAAUUGCCACUAGUUUGUUGAUUGUUGAGUAGCUAGCAUGUCCUAACAUUUUGUGUCAUAAUAAUGAGCUAAUUUUCAUAACACUAAAGCAUGUCAGUGUAAAUUUUGUAGUAUCCAUAAUAUCUACUUUGUACAUAUUUUUAUGCUUUCUCCCUUGAGUACAAUAAUCCCACUAACAGAGUUUGUCACAAUACAGUCCGUAGGAAUAAACUUCAUAUUGUUUCCCUUAUCGCACAUUUGAGAUAUGCUUAGAAGAUUGUAUUUUAGUUCAAAUACAUAGUGAAAAUUAUAAAUAAAACGUGACAUUGUUCUUCCAACCUUUCCUACACCAAUAACUUCUCAAAUUUUACUAUUUUCAAAAAGCAUUACUUCCACCUUAAUAGUCUAUAAGAGAGAGAAAGUAUUCUUUAUUUUCAGUCAUAUGUCUAGAGCAAGCAUUGUCAAGGUACCAAUGCUUGUUUUUUCCUUCCUUCUUAUCCUACAAAUAUAAUUUAGAGGUUAGUUUUGGGCACCCAGAUUAACUUGUGCCUUUUUUUGUGAGAAAAAGGAUGGAUCAAAUCUCUUUCAGCCCAAUGAGGAAGUUCUCUCUUAAUGGACAACAUUUUCUUUAGUUUCUGAGUCUUGUAUCUAUUUAUGAACUUGAAAUUUCUUUUUCACCUUUAUGUGAAGGAUAUUAAUUUUUGAGGUGUCCUUCUUUCCCAUAAAUAAACUAUAUUUAUAGACAAAUUUGCUUUGUAAUGCUCAGGUCUGAAUCCUAGCCCAUGUUUAGAGAUGGAAUAACUACUUUGAAUAUGAGGGGGAAGGGUAUAGGACUUCAUCCACUUGAUUAUGUUCUAGAUCAAGUUUAUCCUUGUUCAAAUCUUUUAGCAAUAAUGUAUUUUUCUCAGAUAAUUCAUCAAGGCUAAUAUUUAGUUUCUUUA